rnacentral:lncRNA from 1 species
GACAAGAUGGCUUGGAAAAGCUGCUGGCAGCCCACGAGGAAAAAUUCACCCAGCUUCAGAUGAUGACAGAGGAGGCAAAGGGUGCUCAUGUCAUGGAGGCGUCUGUGGAACUUAACCAGCAGCCUCCCACAGAAGGGAGGCAGCCCGGUACCAGCUUUUGGACCAGCAGCCAUGGGAUCUUGGCAAGGGGAGCCUCGAGCCUAUUCUCAGAUAUGAGGAAAGUGGAAGUGCCAAGUGGCAUUGGGGAGCUGCCUUAUGCAUCCCCCCUUGUACCUGAGGAAACUGAAUGUGAGAGACUGGAGGACAGAAAGCAGACUUUCUUCCCAAGGUCUAAACCUUGAAAUGAAUCCUGAGCCAACACCAACCCUCGGGGCUACCGGUGGAGACACAGCCUGGGAACCACUUAACUACUGGCCCAUGGCUGCUCAGGACCAGUGUGGGGAACACAGCUCCUGUCAGAGGAUAAGCAGCACUGGUAUCACAUGUCACUGGCUAUGCCUGAGAUGGACCAUGACUUCAUUGCAAGAUCUCGGGGCAAAGAUGACAACCUGUGACAGGACCGGAACAUCCAUGCUAGUGGCCUCUUGGAAAGGCCGGCCUGCUUUCAGAGUGGGACUAACAGCCUGGCACAGCAGAUGGUCUUGGGACAGCGUCACAAACGCCUCCCGUUUAUAAGAGCCCCUGUCACAGUAAAGUGUUCCAUGCUGCAGUGUCCCAUUGUGCAGCCAACACUGCUCCCAUCUCUAACAAGCCCCUAGUCCAUCCAUGAACGACAGCCAUAGCACCACUGCUUGCAGCUUCCAGUCUAGACUCUGUGACAGGGCUGCUGACAGGUUAGCGUCACCUAUGAGGUCCCAGACACACAUCUUUGUGGAGCUGUGCCUGGACAUCAGAGUCCUCAGGGCCUCUGGAGCACAUGGUGAUGCUGGUCUUGAACUGAGUGCAGAAGGGGAAGGAGCUGAAGAUCAAGAGUGACCCAGGAGGAGUCCAGCCAGGGUACCUCAGCUGUCACUCCCGCCUAAACUGUCUGCGGUUUCUCCGCCGCUGCACGGCCUGGUGCAUGGCCUCCCGCAGCCGAUCCUGGUUGUUGCAGAUGUUGUAAUGCGUCAGUCGUAACAGCUUGUCCACAUCUUCCUGG